rnacentral:rRNA from 1 species
AACGUAGGAGACGAGCGUUAUCCGGGUUUACUGGGCGUAAAGCGCGUGCGGGCGGUUUAGUAAGUCACUUGUGAAAGCGCCCGGCUCAACUGGGCGAGGCCGUGUGCGACUGCUGAACUAGAGAGAGGUAGAGGCGAAUGGAAUUCCGGGUGGAGUGGUGAAAUGCGUAGAGAUCCGGAGGAACACCAGUGGCGAAGGCGAUUCGCUGGGCCUACUCUGACGCUCAGACGCGACAGCAUGGGGAGCGAACGGG